rnacentral:rRNA from 1 species
UACAGAGGUCUCAAGCGUUUGUUCGGAUUCAUUGGGCGUAAAGGGUGCGUAGGUGGCGCCGUAAGUCGGGUGUGAAAUUUCGGAGCUUAACUCCGAAACUGCAUUCGAUACUACGGUGCUUGAGGACUGGAGAGGAGACUGGAAUUCAUGGUGUAGCAGUGAAAUGCGUAGAGAUCAUGAGGAAGACCAAUGGCGAAGGCGGAUCUCUGGACAGUUCCUGACACUGAGGCACGAAGGCCAGGGGAGCAAACGGG